rnacentral:rRNA from 1 species
AGCGAACGCUGGCGGCAGGCCUAACACAUGCAAGUCGAACGGAUACUUCGUAAUGAGUGGCGGUCGGGUGAGUAACGCGUGGGACCGUGGCGUGAGGUACGGGACAAUACAGGGACAGUUGAGCUAAUAUCGGAAGUGCCAUUCGGAGGAAAGAUUUCACGCCAUUGGAGAGGCCCGCGUCUUUUUAGCUAGGUGGUAAUGUAACGGCCCACCAAGGCAACGAUCAUUAGCUGGUCUGAGAGGAUGAUCAGCCACACUGGGAGUGAGACACGGCCGGGACUCCUAGGGGAGGCAGCAGUGGGGAAUCUUGCGCAAUGGGCGAAAGCAUGACGCAGUCAGGCCGCGUGAAUCAUUAAGGUGUGAGGAAUGUGAAAUUCUUUCAGCGGGGACGAUAAUGACGGUACCCUAAGAAGAAGCUCCGGCUAACUUCGUG